AACCAAAACCUAAGCAUGACAAUUAGGUUUUCAUGCUAUUGUGUGAUAUGCGCCUUCCUUAAAACUUGCUAUGAUAUCAUCGCAUCACCCAUCUGAUG
ensembl:snoRNA